rnacentral:rRNA from 1 species
AGGGCAAGUCUGGUGCCAGCAGCCGCGGUAAUUCCAGCUCCAAUAGCGUAUAUUAAAGUUGUUGCAGUUAAAAAGCUCGUAGUUGAAUUUCGGGGUUCUACCGUUAGUCGGGCUAUUGUCUGUACUGGCGUGUAGAAUUUCUACCUUCUGGAGAACUAUCAUGUUAUUAAUUUAGCGUGGUAGGAAACCAGGACCUUUACCUUGAAAAAAUUAGAGUGUUCAAAGCAGGCUUAUGUCUGAAUACAUUAGCAUGGAAUAAUAAAAUAGGACGGUGGUCCUGUUUUGUUGGUUUCUGAAUCACCGUAAUGAUUAAUAGGGAUAGUUGGGGGCAUUAGUAUUCAAUUGUCAGAGGUGAAAUUCUUGGAUUUAUUGAAGACUAACUACUGCGAAAGCAUUUGCCAAGGAUGUUUUCAUUAAUCAAGAACGAAGGUUAGGGGAUCGAAGACGAUCAGAUACCGUCGUAGUCUUAACCAUAAACUAUGCCGACUAGGGAUCGGACGAUGUUAACUUUUCUUGACUCGUUCGGCGCCUUACGGGAA